UACGUAGGGGGCAAGCGUUGUCCGGAAUCAUUGGGCGUAAAGAGCGUGUAGGCGGCCCGGUAAGUCCGCUGUGAAAGUCGGGGGCUCAACCCUCGAAUGCCGGUGGAUACUGUCGGGCUAGAGUGCGGAAGAGGCGAGUGGAAUUCCUGGUGUAGCGGUGAAAUGCGCAGAUAUCAGGAGGAACACCGGUGGCGAAGGCGGAUCUCUGGGCCUUACCUGACGCUCAGGCGCGAAAGCUAGGGGAGCGAACAGG
rnacentral:rRNA from 1 species